UGAACGCACCUAAAUCAGAGAUUUAGGUCAAACUCUGGCGUCUUUCUAGAGCAACGGCCUGAAGAUCACGAUCACUAAGUCAAUAUUUGACCUAAUUUUAUUCCCCUAGAAAAUUACAAUUUUCAACAUGAAUCAGCUCAUUAUAAAUCUAAUUUUAUUGGUCACUUACACAUGGUUAGCAGAUGUUAUUGCGAGUGUAGCGAAAUGCUUGUGCUUCUAGUUCCGACAGUGCAGCAAUAUCUAACAAGUAAUCUGACAAUUCCACAACAACUACCUAAUACACACAAAUCUAAGUAAAGGAAUGGAAUAAGAAUAUAUAAAUAUAUGGAUGAGCAAUGACCUAGCGACAUAGGCAAGAUGCAAUAGAUGGGAUAAAAUACAGUAUAUACAUAUGAGAUGAGUAAUGCAAGAUAUGUUAACAUUAUUAAAGUGACUAGUGAUCCAUUUAUUAAAGAGGCCAAUGAUUUCAAGUCUGUAUGUAGGCAGCAGCCUCUCUGUGUUAGUGAUGGCUGUUUAACAGUCUGAUGGCCUUGAGAUAGAAGCUAUUUUUCAGGUCCCAGCUUUGAUGCACCUGUACUGACCUCGCCUUCUGGAUGAUAGCGGGGUGAACAGGCAGUGGCUCGGGUGGUUGUUGUCCUUGAUGAUCUUUUUGUCCUUCCUAGAGGGCAGGUAGUUUUCCCCCAGUGAUGCGCUGUGCAGACUGCACCACCCUCUGGAAAGCCCUGCGGUUGUGGAUGAUGCAGUUGCCGUACCAGGCGGUGAUGCAGCCCGACAGGAUGCUCUCAAUUGUGCAUCUGUAAAAGUUUGUGGGGGUUUUCGGUGACAAGCCACAUUUCUUCAGCCUCCUGAGGUUGAAUGGUGCUUUCAAGACAACUGGGAACUCUGAAAAAUACUAGGUCAAAUCAUGACGUCAGUGAUCUUCAGGUCGGAAAGUCGGAGCUCUAGAAAGAGGCCAGAGUUCCCGAGUUGGAAUUAAUACUUGGAUGUUCAAACCAAUUCAAACCAAUUUUUCAUAGUCAGAGCUUGUUUUUUUCUGAGUUCCCAGUUGUCUAGAACACACUGAAGUCUGAGAUUCCGAGUUCCCGGUUGUUUUGAACGCAGCAUAAUUCUAGGCUACAUAAGACAUGUAUUGCUUGCUAUUUGGGGUUUUAGUUUGGGAUUCUGUAUACGCACUUUGUGACAUCUGUUGAUGUUAAAAGCUCUUUAUAAAUAAACUUGAUUUGAUUUUUAACCAGUCACCGGGGAAGGGUCGUCACUAGUUACCACAGCCACAAAAAUCAUAAACCCUACAAUUCAUCUUCUUAAAAUGUGAUUUUAAACCUAGCCAUAACCUUGACCACACUGCUAACCUUAAGCCUAACGCUAACCUUAAAUUAAGACCGAAAAGCACAUUUUUGUUUUCAUACAUUUUUACGUUGUAGCCUAUGUUUAAGACUUGGAUGUCGAUUAUGGCAGCCCCCGCACCUCUCUGAUUCAGGUUGGGUUAAAUGCGGAAGACACAUUUCAACUGAAUGCAUUCAGUUGUACAACUGACUAGGUAUCCCCCUUUCCCUUUCCUUUCUCUUACUUUGUAUUUGUGGAAACCAGUGAAUGGCUGUAGUUGUAGAAUAAGCAAGUAGCUAUUUAGUCCACUGAGGUAUAAUUAAGCAGGAAGGCCAGAGGAGAUGUGGUAUAUGGCCAAUAUACCAUGGCUAAGGGCUGUUCUUAUGCGCAACACAGAGUGCCUGGAUACAGCCCUUAGCCGUGGUAUAUUGGCCAUACAUCACAAACCCCCGAGGUGCCUUAUUGCUAUUAUGAACUGGUUACCAACGGAAUUAGAGUAGUAAAAAUAAACGUUUUGUCAUACCAGUGGCAUACGGUCUGAUAUACCACGGCUGUCAAUUUUUAUAAUAACUAUCUAGUCUCUGCUACUAUUACUUAAUUUCAGAUGUUAUAUUGCCACCUAGUGGUUUAUUGAAACAUGUAUGUACAUGUGUUAUUUACCCACAUGUCCAGCACUAAAUGUACCUCUGUUUAUCAUUCAAAGCAAUGUAAUGGAAUAUUUACUUUCACCAACCGCCGUAUAUAUUCUAAAUGUAUAUGUUUUCACCUAUUCAAUGAUGUUUGAGCACAGAUUAUAUCAAUUCAAACGGAGCCCCCAGUCUUUUGCAGUACUCUGGAUCCUUUGGUUGAGUCUGGUGUUAAUUACACUGCACAAAAAAAUAAAGGGAACACUUAAACAACACAAUGUAACUCCAAGUCAAUCACACUUCUGUGAAAUCAAACUGUCCACUUAGGAAGCAACACUGAUUGACAAAUUGCACAUGCUGUUGUGCAAAUGGAAUAGACAACAGGUGGAAAUUAUAGGCAAUUAGCAAGACACCCUCAAUAAAGGAGUGGUUCUGCAGGUGGGGACCACAGACCACUUCUCAGUUCCUAUGUUACCUGGCUGAUGUUUUGGUCACUUUUGAAUGCUGGCGGUGCUUUCCCUCUAGUGGUAGCAUGAGACGGAGUCUACAACCCACACAAGUGGCUCGGGAAGUGCAGCUCAUCCAGGAUGGCACAUCAAUGCGAGCUGUGGCAAGAAGGUUUGCUGUGUCUGUCAGCAUAGUGUCCAGAGCAUGGAGGCGCUACCAGGAGACAGGCCAGUACAUCAGGAGACGUGGAGGAGGCCGUAGGAGGGCAACAACCCAGCAACAGGACCGCUACCUCCGCCUUUGUGCAAGGAGCACUGCCAGAGCCCUGCAAAAUGACCUCCAGCAGGCCACAAAUGUGCAUGUGUCUGCUCAAAUGGUCAGAAACAGACUCCAUGAGGGUGGUAUGAGGGCCCAACGUCCACAGGUGGGGGUUGUGCUUACAGCCCAACACCGUGCAGGACGUUUUUCAUUUGCCAGAAAACACCAAAAUUGGCAAAUUCGCCACUGGCGCCCUGUGCUCUUCACAGAUGAAAGCAGGUUCACACUGAGCACAUGUGACAGACGUGACAGUCUGGAGACGCAGUGGAGAACGUUCUGCUGCCUGCAACAUCCUCCAGCAUGACCGGUUUGGUGGUGGGUCAAUCAUGGUUUGCUUUGCUUUAUCUUGGCCAGGUCGCAAUUGUAAAUGAGAACUUGUUCUCAACUUGCCUACCUGGUUAAAUAAAGGUGAAAUAAAAAAUACAAAAAUGGUGUGGGGUGGCAUUUCUUUGGGGGGCCGCACAGCCCUCCAUGUGCUCGCCAGAGGUAGCCUGACUGCCAUUAGGUACCGAGAUGAGAUCCUCAGACCCCUUGUGAGACCAUAUGCUGGUGCGGUUGGCCCUGGGUUCCUCCUAAUGCAAGACAAUGCUAGACCUCAUGUGGCUGGAGUGUGUCAGCAGUUCCUGCAAGAGGAAGGCUUUGAUGCUAUGGACUGGCCCGCCCGUUCCCCAGACCUGAAUCCAAUUGAGCACAUCUGAGACAUCAUGUCUCGCUCCAUCCACCAACGCCACGUUGCACCACAGACUGUCCAGGAGUUGGCGGAUGCUUUAGUCCAGGUCUGGGAGGAGAUCCCUCAGGAGACCAUCCGCCACCUCAUCAGGAGCAUGCCCAGGCGUUGUAGGGAGGUCAUACAGGCAUGUGGAGGCCACACACACUACUGAGCCUCAUUUUGACUUGUUUUAAGGACAUUACAUCAAAGUUGGAUCAGCCUGUAGUGUGGUUUUCCACUUUAAUUUUGAGUGUGGCUCCAAAUCCAGACCUCCAUGGGUUGAUAAAUUUGAUUUCAAUUGAUAACUUUUGUGUGAUUUUGUUGUCAGCACAUUCAACUAUGUAAAGAAAAAUGUAUUUAAUAAGAAUAUUUCAUUCCUUCAGAUCUAGGAUGUGUUAUUUUAGUGUUCCCUUUAUUUUUUUGAGCAGUGUAUAUAGGGCAAGUUACUCCUUGCAUAUAUUUUUUCUAUUCCCUGCUAUUUCCUACUUUUUCUAUUCCCUACCUUCCGGAGACACCUGAAACCCCACCUCUUUAAGGAAUACCUAGGAUAGGAUAAAGUAAUUCUCCCCCCCCCCCCCCUCCUUAAAAGAUUUAGAUGCACUAUUGUAAAGUGGCAGUUCCACUGGAUGUCAUAAGGUGAACGCACCAAUUUGUAAGUCGCUCUGGAUAAGAGCGUCUGCUAAAUGACUUAAAUGUAAUGUUAAAUGUUGUAUUGUUUUUAGACCAAAUGACGACAGCCACACGUAAUCAGGUCCUGUCACUGUAUAUUAGGGUAUUUCGGAUCGCCUGGGGCGCAUUCCACACUCCCACAAGACACUGUGAGUGACAGAAGGUACAUUGUCCAGGAGGCCCAGACCCUCUUCAGACAGAACCAACAGGCAAAAAGACAGACCCUAUGUUUGUCUGUGUAGCUCGGUAUCAUCUGUAUCUGUUUGAUGAAUCUGUUGCUCUGUGUAUCCCUUUCAGUUGACAGAUCAGGAAUCAAUAAAGAAGUGCUUAGCAGAAUGUGAGACAAGGAUAGAAAUUGGUCUUUAUUACAGGAAUCCUUAUCCAAGACUUAUCUACCUGCUUAUAAUGGGACUGGCAACCCAGAAAGGCAGGAAGCUGAAAGCACAGCAACGCAUGAGGAAGCAGGCCAGCCAGUUUACUUACAGUCACAUGAGGACAGCUGAUACUACAGCUGAUACUAGAUGAACUCUAUAUUCUUGUGAAAGGGUUGAUGUUACCAAGGACAGGAGGAAAGUUACUGGCUAAUCUCAGGAGUUGAGUUGAAAAUCCAUCUUAUAUAUUGGAGAAAAAAGUCAUUAAUUUCCAAGUGUAUUUAUGCAUGUGAUUCCUGACAAGAGCUGCUAUGUGGAUGUCAGCAUUGUCUGUCCUGUAAGAUAAGUAGCCAUACAGAUUUGUGAUACUAUUUUGAAUAUAUUUAUAUUUUCAAUAAAUUGAGUUUUGAA